GAAUUUUGUCGCUAUCUUUUCUUGUUACGAAGGAGAUGCACACACAUGAAAUACAGUGAAUAGGGAGAUAACUCUUACAAAGAAAAUGGUUCCCCUUAGCAGGGUGAAAUUUAAAAUCGCAUAAACUAUACGAUACCAUAUGAGAAAUAUCUAAGCGACAUAUUGCGAAACAAACAUUUAUUGCAAGAACAAAAUUUGGCGGAAG
rnacentral:lncRNA from 1 species